CACUCCUACGGGAGGCAGCAGUGGGGAAUUUUGGACAAUGGGCGAAAGCCUGAUCCAGCAAUGCCGCGUGAGUGAAGAAGGCCUUCGGGUUGUAAAGCUCUUUUGUCAGGGAAGAAACGGUGAAAGCUAAUAUCUUUUGCUAAUGACGGUACCUGAAGAAUAAGCACCGGCUAACUACGUGCCAGCAGCCGCGGUAAUACGUAGGGUGCAAGCGUUAAUCGGAAUUACUGGGCGUAAAGCGUGCGCAGGCGGUUUUGUAAGUCUGAUGUGAAAUCCCCGGGCUCAACCUGGGAAUUGCAUUGGAGACUGCAAGGCUAGAAUCUGGCAGAGGGGGGUAGAAUUCCACGUGUAGCAGUGAAAUGCGUAGAUAUGUGGAGGAACACCGAUGGCGAAGGCAGCCCCCUGGGUCAAGAUUGACGCUCAUGCACGAAAGCGUGGGGAGCAAACAGGAUUAGAAACCCCGGUAGUCCCAU
rnacentral:rRNA from 1 species